rnacentral:rRNA from 1 species
GACGAACGCUGGCGGCGCGCCUAACACAUGCAAGUCGAACGAGAGAGAAGGAGCUUGCUUCUUCGAUCGAGUGGCGAACGGGUGAGUAACGCGUGAGGAACCUGCCUCAAAGAGGGGGACAACAGUUGGAAACGACUGCUAAUACCGCAUAAGCCCACGGGUCGGCAUCGACCAGAGGGAAAAGGAGCAAUCCGCUUUGAGAUGGCCUCGCGUCCGAUUAGCUAGUUGGUGAGGUGAUGGCCCACCAAGGCGACGAUCGGUAGCCGGACUGAGAGGUUGAACGGCCACAUUGGGACUGAGACACGGCCCAGACUCCUACGGGAGGCAGCAGUGGGGAAUAUUGCACAAUGGGGGAAACCCUGAUGCAGCGACGCCGCGUGGAGGAAGAAGGUCUUCGGAUUGUAAACUCCUGUUGUUGAGGAAGAUAAUGACG